rnacentral:rRNA from 1 species
UGAAACACGGACCAAGGAGUCUAGCAUGUGCGCGAGUCAUUGGGAACUAUGAAUAGACCCAGAGGCGCAAUGAAAGUGAAAGACGGAGCCUCGGUGCACCGUCCCAAGGGAAGAUGCGCGGACGUCUCCGCACGUCCCGCCGCAUUCCCGAGGCGUUCCGAGAAAGUCACCGUGCGAUUAUCGGGACGCACUGAGAGCGUACACGCUGGGACCCGAAAGAUGGUGAACUAUGCCUGGUCAGGUCGAAGUCAGA